AUGAAGCUCAUCGCUUGGAAUUGCCGGGGGUUGGGGAACAACCCGGCAAUUACGGGUCUUCUGGACAUCCAGAAGAGGGAGGACCCCGACGUACUUUUCUUGUCGGAGACGAGGAUGAUACAGGAUAGGAUUGAUUGGCUAAGGUGGAAGCUGGGCAUGCCACAUAUGGUGGUUAAGGAUUGUUGCGGGAAGGGAGGGGGAGGUGGUUUAGCGCUAUUCUGGAAGAGGGAUGUUGAUGUGAAGCUCACCGGGUUUGUGUCUCGGUAUCAUAUCGAUACUGAUAUUAUGGAGCAGGAUGGCUAUGUCUGGCGUUUUACGGGGAUCUACGGUGAACCAAAGAUGGAGUUGAAAGACCAAACAUGGAAGCUGUUGCGCACGUUAAAGAACCAGAAUAAUAAGCCUUGGCUGUGCGCCAGCACUUUCAAUGAGGUUCUGCACUCGUGGGAAAAGGAGGGAGGAGUGACCCGUUCUCAGGCUAGUAUGGACAAGUUCAAGAUGGCCCUGGAGGACUGCGAGCUACAUGAUCUGGGGUUUAUAGGUGAUGUGUUCACGUGGAGAAAUCAUAAUCAUAAUCCCAGCGAUACGUUCACGAGAGACUUGGCCGAGCUGUUGCGUCACAGUCCUGGAGGGACAGAUUCCCAGGUGUGA
rnacentral:rRNA from 1 species